GAGGACUGCCCGGCUCAAACCACCGCCAGGACGCCCCAUGGAGAAGGUUCAAGCACCCGGUGGCCCUGCGGCUGCUUUGGCAGAAGCCAAGCAAUGAUAUGUGAUGAUGAAGCAAAGAAAGAACUGUGCACGGAGUCCCAGGAAAACAAGACACAGGAUGCAUUCCAUCCAGAUAUGGCUCCUACUCCACCUCCUCAGCUGAGGGUAAAGAAGAUUCUGCAGGUGCACAAGACAGAACCAGUGAGUCACUACGAAGGGGGUGAAGUGAGCUGGCUGCAGAUUUUCUGCAGUGAACUAAGCACCAGAGGAUGACGGUCCCAUGCUGAUCAAGUUCUAAUGGGAAAAAAUGAGGUCUAGGACUAUUAUACCCAGCCAAAAUGUCACUCGAGUCUAGAGACACAGGGGCGAUGUCCUCCAACGCAAAGGAACGUGAGAGAACGCGGCACAAAUGCACACGCCCUUGUUGGGAGAAAAACAACCACAGCCACCUCAAAGAUGAAAUGAAGCUGCUAAAAGAAAUGCCAAAGAAAGAAUUCCAGCGUGAAGAAGCCGUAUGAAAGGGUGGGUGGGCAGCGGGAAGCCCACUGAGGUGGCUACAGAGCGUUAGAGAAUUACACAAAAUAUGGUUAUAGAACAGGUAAGCAUUUAAACCUUGGUGGAGUAAAAACAAUGAUAAAAUUAGUAACAUUGUGGGUAUGCAGGACACUGUGAUCCAAAAUGAAGACACGCCAGGCGACUGAGAUUCUAACGCGAGCCGCGCUGAAAGACCCAUCCCCAGAGAAUGACUGACUCAGGGCAGGGAAGGUUCGAGAGUGUGGAAAAUCUAGUUUUGCUAGAGAACAAGGAAGUUGCAAAGAGGAAUGGGGUCAUGUCCAAGGGUACGGAAGCCAGUGGGAAGGGCUCCCAUUGGCCAAAGUGGAGGCGGUGGGAUCUCAGAGGGGACAAUGAUUCAAACAUGGCGUGUGGGCUUCCUGCUGCUGUGGUUACAAAUGACCACAAAUUCAAUUGCUAAACCACACUUUUUUUUUUUUUUUUUUUUUUUACCUUGAGACGGGAUCUCACUUUGUUGCCCAGGCUGGAGUGCAGUGGCAUGAACAUCGCUCACUGCAGCCUGGACCUCCUGGGCUCAAGUGAUCCUCCUGCCUCAGCUUCCCAAGUAGCUGGGACUACAGGCAUGCACCACCAUGCUCGGCUAAGUUUUGUAUUUUUUGUAGAGACAGGGUUUUGCCAUGUUGCCCAGGCUGGUCUGGAACUCCUGAGCUCGAGAGAUCUGCCUGCCUUGGCCUCCCAAAGUGCUGAGAUUUCAGGUGUGAGCCACCGUACCCGGCCAACACAAGUGUUUUAAGCACACCAUCCCGGAGGUCCGAAAUCCCAAGCCUGAAGUGCCGGCAGGGCUGGCUCCUUCUGGAGUCCCAGGGAGGGGUCCAUUUCCUUGCCUCUUCCAGCUUCCGGUGACCACCACCCUCCCCGGCUGGGCCCCUCCUCCCAUCGCUCCAGUCCUUGCUUCCCCUGCUCAUCUCCUUCUCCAGCGACUCUGAACCUCUGCCUCCCUCCCCUAGGAAUCUGUGAUGAUCUUGGCUCACCCAGAUCAUCCACGAUAAUUUCCCAUCUUCAAGGCCCUCCACUUAAUCAUAUCUGCUAAUCCCCCUCACCACGUGUGGUCCCCCUCGCCACGCAUGGUUACAUAGUCAUGGGUUUCUGGGAUCAGGACAUGGACAUCUUCAGGGGAGCAUUAUUUGGCCCACCACACACGGCAGGUCCACGGAACUCCAUGGGUCCACACCUGAUGCUCCGAAGGGGGAGUCCAGGGAACCCCUUUCCUUGUUGUCGCCACUAGAGGCUGCAAUUCAACACUGCCUUACUGUGAAAAUCUGUCAUUAAAGAGAAAGGGUCGAGGGUGUUUCCAGCAGGAAUUAUAUUUGGGGGUGCACAGCUCCCAUGGAUGAAGGAUCAGCACAGUGCAGAGGAGAAUGUGGGUAACGCUGAUGGAGGGAGGAAGAGAAAAAGGCAGCCUGCACCUCCCAGGUCCCAGUGGAAGGACAGGCUUGGGAAGGGCCUUCAGAGGGGGCCAAGAGCCACAGAGGGAACACUGGGUGCUCGUAAAGCCACAGGCCACCUUGAGGUGACCAGGGGGAAGUACCUGCCCAGUGGUGGGGUUGGGCUGGCCCCAGCAGGUCCAUCAGGCCAUCUUUGACACGGGCAACCAGGACCUGAGGCCACACGCAGACACCAAGGGCACGUGCAACAUUUUCAAGCCUCGAUCAAGUAAGCUCUGUCCAGCAGGCCUGCAGACCCAACUUCCACUUUGCAAAAAAUACUGGAGGCAGAAGAACAAGCUGAACCACCCACAGAGAGGCCACCGGACACGUGCAGACGGUGGAAACUUCUGCAGGACGAGAGGCCUGGUGUACGUGCUACCUCUGUUGCGUAACGAACCACCACCAGCCUGGAAGCUCACAGCAGCACCCACUUAUCACUUCUCAGUUCUGUAGGGUAGAAGUCUGCGCACAGCUGAGCUUGGUUUUCUGCAGAGGGUCCCAUGAGGCUGAGACGGAGGCAUCCGCAGGGCUGGGCCCGCAUCUGGAGCCCAGCAGGAAUCUGCUCCCAGGCUCAUUCCCGCCAUCUGCGGAAUCCCCUCCUGCACAGUGGGACAGAGGACCCCCUUUCUUGCUGGCCGCUGGCAGGGGGUUGCUCUCAGCUCCCCAGGGCCACCUCCUUCCUUGGCAUAUGCCCUCAUCUCUAAAGCAAGUACAGAUGUGUUCAGUUCCCUGCUGCCUCCAGUCACUUCACCUCUUCCACUGCCAGCCAGAGGAAACGCUGCUUUCAGAGGGCACGUGUGAGUAGACGCAGCCCACUCGGAUAAUCGCCCUUUGAUUAAUUCAAAUUCAACUGCUCAGCGAACUUAAUUAUAUCUCCCGUGUAUACCUGUCUCCCCAUUCCUCCUUUGUAUAAAGAGGGGCCUUAGUCCUAUUGAAUUAGGGCCCAACUGAAUGACCUCAUUUCACCUUAAUUACCUCUAAAGAACCAAUUUCCAAAUACAGUCAUAGUCUAAGGUACCAUGGGUUGGGGCUUUGAUAUAUAAAUCUUGGGGGACACAGUUCAAUCCCGAACACCAUGUCACGUGACAAUCGUGGUGUGAUGUCUCAGAUUCACAAUCCCGGGGGUAGGGUGGGAAAUCCUGGGGGACCCGCCUGGUGGGAGCUGUUCCAGAUUAAAAAGGGGUUUGUGAAUCACCAUAACCAGACCCGGCAAAACACUCCUGGAUUGAGCUCACCAGCUGCUGAGCACAUGCCGGGGCCGCUGGGGAGAUGUCUCUCCAAGCUGGGCUUGGGCUGCCCCUCUCCCAGGACCCCUGCCCGGCCCUCUCCCCUUCCCAGCCCGUGGCUGCGGCCCUCACUCUCCGGCCCCCGGCUCUCUGCCCCUCCGUGGGCAUGGCCUUGGCCUCCCUGAGUUCUGGGGAGAUGCCUCCCACUUCCUGUUCCCCCGGAACAGGGCGUGAGUCUUGGGAGACCUAAUCAGGGCCUCCUGAAAUCUGGGCUUUUCCCAGGCAGGCCGUGGGUGGCUGUUACAUCCGCAGUGAGGCUGUGGGGGUCUCACUUCCCAAGGAGGGGCCUGCGGGUGGCUUGGCCGCUGGCUCUUUUCUGCCCCACAUAGAAACCAGGUGAAUCUGCCCCGAUGUUCUCCCUCCAAACAAUUAUGCGAUUUCCUGGUGUCGGGGUGUCCUGGGGCUGCCAUAACAAAGUACCACAGCGGGGGGCUUGAAGCAACAGUUCUGGAGGCCAGAGUUGGACAUCAGUGUCCCUGG
rnacentral:lncRNA from 10 species